rnacentral:ncRNA from 1 species
UUCGUCCGCUGCGGCAUGGCCCGGAGCCAGCACCAGAGGGGCCAAAAGGAGCGCCCCGCAGACACGGCCGGGCGUGAAAAGAAAGCGCGUCGGUGAAAAGCCGGCUGGCUCAGGAAAGCGCAUGGUUUGAAGUAUGGCCGAUA